rnacentral:rRNA from 1 species
GAUGAACGCUAGCGAUAGGCCUAACACAUGCAAGUCGAGGGGCAGCAUAGAGUAGCAAUACUUUGAUGGCGACCGGCGCACGGGUGAGUAACACGUAUGCAACCUACCUACAUCAGGGGAAUAACCCGGAGAAAUUCGGACUAAUACCGCAUAAUACAGGGAUGCCGCAUGGCAAUAUUUGUUAAAGAUUUAUCGGAUGUAGAUGGGCAUUCGUUCCAUUAGCUGGUUGGUAAGGUAACGGCUUACCAAGGCAACGAUGGAUAGGGGAACUGAGAGAUUUGUCCCCCACACGGGAACUGAGAAACGGACCAGACUCCUACGGGAGACAGCAGUGAGGAAUAUUGGUCAAUGGACGACAGUCUGAACCAGCCAAAUCGCGUGAAGGAAGACUGCCCUACGGGUUGUAAACUUCUUUUGUACAGGAAUAAAAGACAUUACGUGUAAUGUAUUGCAUGUACUGUACGAAUAAGCAUCGGCUAACUCCGUGCCAGCAGCCGCAGUAA